rnacentral:rRNA from 1 species
UAACCUACUAAAUAGCCCGUAUUGCUUUGGCAGUUCGCUGGCUUCUUAGAGGGACUCUCGGCUCAAGCCGAUGGAAGUUUGAGGCAAUAACAGGUCUGUGAUGCCCUUCGAUGUUCUGGGCCGCACGGUACGUAUUUUCGAACCCCCUUCACCUACCGAACCCCCUAAAACCUCUCUUGAACAACCAGCUAACGAUUUUUACAGCGCGCUACACUGACAGAGCCAGCGAGUACUCCCUUGGUCGAGAGACCCGGGUAAUCUUGUUAAACUCUGUCGUGCUGGGGAUAGGGCUUUGCAAUUAUCGCCCUUCAACGAGGAAUUCCUAGUAAGCGCAAGUCAUCAGCUUGCGUUGAUUACGUCCCUGCCCUUUGUACACACCGCCCGUCGCU